rnacentral:rRNA from 1 species
AGCCGGUUUGGUCAGUCCUCCGGGAAAUCUGACAGCUCAACUGUUAGGCUUUCGGGGGAUACUGCCAGACUUGGAACCGGGAGAGGUAAGAGGUACUACAGGGGUAGGAGUGAAAUCUUGUAAUCCCUGUGGGACCACCUGUGGCGAAGGUGUCUUACCAGAACGGGUUCGACGGUGAGGGACGAAAGCUGGGGGCACGAACCGGAUUAGAUACCCGGGUAGUCCCAGCCGUAAACGAUGCUCGCUAGGUGUCAGGCAUGGCGCGACCGUGUCUGGUGCCGCAGGGAAGCCGUGAAGCGAGCCACCUGGGAAGUACGGCCGCAAGGCUGAAACUUAAAGGAAUUGGCGGGGGAGCACAACAACGGGUGGAGCCUGCGGUUUAAUUGGACUCAACGCCGGACAACUCACCGGGGGCGACAGUAAUAUGUAGGCCAAGCUGAAGACUUUGCCUGAAUCGCUGAGAGGAGGUGCAUGGCCGUCGCCAGUUCGUACUGUGAAGCAUCCUGUUAAGUCAGGCAACGAGCGAGACCCGUGCCCACUGUUACCAGCAUGUCCUUCGGGAUGAUGGGUACUCUGUGGGGACCGCCGGUGUCAAAUCGGAGGAAGGUACGGGCCACGGU